rnacentral:lncRNA from 1 species
CUUGGAAAGGGAGGAAGCUUUCCAUCCCAAGUGUGCAAAGCAUUGCGGUCUUUAAUUUAUUGACUGUAUUGACCUGACUUUUAAAAGACUCCCCAACUUGGCAUCAGUAUUCUGUUUAUCUCACAUGCAAUGAAUCUGUCCUUCUUCCCUGUGUACAAGUACUUAAUAGCUGUUAAAUGAUGAGGACAGGCCUUGCUGGAUCUGUGAGAGUUGUACUUUAAGGUACAUUUGGAUUAAUGCUUUCCUUUUCUUCUGCUCCAUUCUCAGGUUGCUGCACUACUUGCUCAAUUUGACUGUCCUAGCGGCUUGGAAACCUUGUCAGAUGAUUUUCAGCAGGAGUGAUUCCUUCAGUGCUGCCACACCAGUGGAGAUUACAGUUGGAUCUCCUUCCAUACAAGUCACUACAGCGGAGCAGAUCCUUUGGCUGUGUUUCCUGUCAUCAGGUGUCACCCCAGCUAGAUGUCUGCAAGGAAGCGGCAAGAAUGACAUAAAAACAUUCAGGAUAACCUUGUGAAUCGUGGAAACGUAAAAGAGUAAAUGGAUGGACAAGUAUUGUAGCUGUUUGCUUUAUAACUUCAGCUGCAUAGAACGCCGUUGUACAGGUAAAUAAAGUGAAGUAUCUAUUUUAACA